UACGGAGGGUGCAAGCGUUGUCCGGAAUUAUUGGGUUUAAAGGGUGCGUAGGCGGUUGUAUAAGCUAGUAGUGAAAUAUAUACGCUCAACGUAUAAAGUGCUAUUGGAACUGUGCAACUAGAGUGUGUUGGAGGUUACUAGAAUUCGUGGAGUAGCGGUGAAAUGCAUAGAUACCACGAGGAAUACCAAUUGCGAAGGCAGGUAACUGUGACACAACUGACGCUGAUGCACGAAAGUAUGGGUAGCGAACAGG
rnacentral:rRNA from 1 species